GGCUCCUUGGUCAAGCGGUUAAGACACCCACCUUUCACGGUGGUAACAGGGGUUCGAUUCCCCUAGGAGUCA
rnacentral:tRNA from 1 species